rnacentral:rRNA from 1 species
UGCGUAGGCGGUUCGGUAAGUCUUAUGUGAAAUCUUCGGGCUCAACUCGAAGUCUGCAUGAGAAACUGCCGGGCUUGAGUGUGGGAGAGGUGAGUGGAAUUUCCGGUGUAGCGGUGAAAUGCGUAGAUAUCGGAAGGAACACCUGUGGCGAAAGCGGCUCACUGGACCAUAACUGACGCUGAUGCACGAAAGCUAGGGGAGCAAACAGGAUUAGAUACCCUGGUAGUCCUAGCCCUAAACGAUGAUCGCUUGGUGUGACGGGUACCCAAUCCCGCCGUGCCGAAGCUAACGCGUUAAGCGAUCCGCCUGGGGAGUACGGUCGCAAGGCUGAA